UACAGAGGAUGCAAGCGUUGUCCGGAUUUAUUGGGUUUAAAGGGUGCGUAGGCGGCUUUAUAAGUCAGUGCUGAAAUAUCCCGGCUUAACCGGGAGGGUGGCAUUGAUACUGUAGAGCUUGAGUAGAGUUGAGGUUGGCGGAAUUGACGGUGUAGCGGUGAAAUGCUUAGAUAUCGUCAAGAACACCGAUAGUGAAGACAGCUAACUAAGCUCUAACUGACGCUGAGGCACGAAAGUGUGGGGAUCAAACAGG
rnacentral:rRNA from 1 species